UGGAUGGAAAAGUAAAACUGUAAAAUAUAUUCCCUUCAGGUUCUCCUUUGAAAACAAGACUUCAAGGUAAUUAAAACCAGGCAUGGCAACCACAACACCUUCAUCAUAUCGUAUUGCGAAGAAAAUUACCCGCCACUACAAUCAUAUCUCGUUUUUACGUACAUGUAAGUCUUUGAAAUUAAUACCUAAUGGUCUACGCGCAACAUACUCUUUUGAAAACUUAAAAUAGAGAAGAAUAAUUAAUCAUAGAUAAUAUAGACUGAUUGAUAAUUGUAUCAAUCCCCAAUUUACACUAACCUUACUAUAUAAGACAAUGAAAGUGCAUACAAUGUAUCAUGGAGGAAAAACAAAAGAUUUCAUCGAUGAUAUAAAUAUUGCUUCCUUGCUGACUCAAUUGUGGUGGAACAGUAAGUGAUACCCUUGUUGUUGUACGUGGAGUUCUUAUGAUGAUCUGUGUUUAGCAAACUUGGUUUCUGUCUACUUUUUAAUCCCAGAUUUUGUAUUUUGUGUGGUCAGUUGUAUUUUGAAAAUGAUCCUGUCGAACUAAAGUGUCAGUAUAGUUGAGUAGUUGGUAAUAAGUAACUGCAUCUGGUUGUAGGCAAUGCUACCAAAAAUACAGUCUAUCAUUCCUAUGAAUUCCUAUGAUAUUAUUUAAUAAUCAGGAUUGACUUCUUAAACAUAAUAAUUCAAUUUAUUCUGAUAUAGGGCUCAUAAAAGAAUAUCCCGCUCUUUGACUUAUUUAUUACAGAGGAGAAAAAAAUGAAAGCAGUUGCUCAUCCACAAACCUAACACUGCUCAUUGUCACGGCGGUGGUACUGAUAUUCUUUUUUCUUCCGGUGGGUUUUAUCGUCUACUGGUGUACGAAAAAAAAUUAUCUGCAAUGUCAGGGAGAAGGAUUACUGGGCGCUCCCGCCAGGGCAACGACGAUACAAGCAAUUACAUACAGGUCAGCUCCUGCAAAAUCAAACCUCUUCUUUUCUUAUGAAACUCGUGGAGCUGCUCACUCCUGAAGGUAGGCCAAACUGGAAAGAUCUAGCGGCAAAUUUUGGCGAUUUCGCUUACGAGGAAAUCGCGAACUUCGGAGUUGGCAAAACUACAGUGGAGACCAAAAUCACGUCAACCAUCGACAAAUUAUAUAGAUGUUGUCUCAACAUUAAGAAGGAAGAUGUGGCGACGUACAUUGCCGAUUGUGUAAGCCAAAUAACAGACACUACACUUGUGUAGACAAUUGGCCUUUUUUGACAGGCGAUAUCCGCCGUUUCCUGCAUGCCUAUAUGGGUACCAAGUGAGCACACGACUUCGUUUCGACGUGGAAUUUUGGUUGAACUUUUGUCGCGACGUCGAUCAGCGGGAAAUCGACGUUGUUUCCACGUCAAGGUCAUUUCCACGACGUCGAAUCAAUGUCGCUUGUCAACGUUGUUUCAAGGUUGAAACAUGGUCGAUACGUAGUUAUAUACGUACAGGGUCGUUCGGCAACCAAAAAUCGACUGGCUUUCAAUAUUGCCGCAUUGCCGUGUUAACACAACCUACGACUUCAACAUUGCCGUGUUAACAAACCUACGACUUAAUUUUUUACCGCGAAUUGGUUAGCUGAUACCAGGGGCGGAUCUAGGGGUGAUCAGAGCGAUCACGCGACUAAGGCAAAAAUUGCCAAGAAAAGUGUUUGAAUGAAAUAGCAGUCCAGUUGCUUAACACGUGCAGUGUAUUGGGCUGAUCAGGCACUCGUGAUGUUUGGCAGUCCAGUUGUUAAAAGAGUUCCGUGACCAGGCCUUCAAGCACGAGCGCGCAGAAAAGCGGUCUUAUGCAUGAAUUUUGCUCGCUUCGUCAUCAAAUCCCUGUCAUCUGAUUGGCUGUCCCUCUUUUUGCGCGAUCUGUGGGGAGUUCUGAUCGGUGAAGCGAUCAGGGGCUCGAAUCGGGCUAUUCAAUUGGCUAAUUCAAAAUCUAUCUGAAUUCUCAUUGGUUGUAUUUUUCUGAUCGAUCAGUGUGAUCUGACCUUGACCUGAGAGCGUGCAAACAGCAAGGUUCCU